ACGUAGGGACCAAGCGUUGUUCGGAUUUACUGGGCGUAAAGGGCGCGUAGGCGGCGUGACAAGUCACUUGUGAAAUCUCCGGGCUUAACUCGGAACUGCCAAGUGAUACUGUCGUGCUAGAGUGCAGAAGGGGCAAUCGGAAUUCUUGGUGUAGCGGUGAAAUGCGUAGAUAUCAAGAGGAACACCUGAGGUGAAGACGGGUUGCUGGGCUGACACUGACGCUGAGGCGCGAAAGCUAGGGGAGCAAACGGGAUUAGAUACCCCGGUAGUCCUAGCCCUAAACGAUGAAUACUUGGUGUCUGGAGUUUUUAUCCUCCGGGUGCCGUCGCUAACGUUUUAAGUAUUCCGCCUGGGGAGUACGCACGCAAGUGUG
rnacentral:rRNA from 1 species